rnacentral:lncRNA from 1 species
AAAGAAUUACACAACAAGAGAUGUGGACGGCUCGAACGCCACGAGCACACUGAAGCCGUCCGUACCGCAAGUCAUUGCAACGCGCCGAUAACAUUAUUACAAUUUCAAUAUCAUUAAAUAACAUUUUCUGUAGUUGAUUUUUUAAAUUUAUAAUUUGAAUGAUUAUUUCAGGAUCAAACAUGUGUGCGGGCGCAACGUAGGAGACCUGUGGUACUACGGCUGCGACCCCAUCACGUGGGGCAUCUGGUACAUCCUGGGCCUGGGCCAGGAGUGUCGCGGGCAGCGCAUCGACGGGCUGGCCCACUUCCGCACCUUCGACACCUACUGCGACUUCUUGGCUGAGCAGUGCAAGGCGCAGUUCUCCUACUCAUGGAUCUACGUGCACCGCGGCAAGUGCGACGACAUGUGGCUGUACGUGCGCGACAUCCGCGAGCCGUGGAUGCUGCAGAGCCGCGUCUCCUUCUUCUUCACGCAGCUGUCCAACAGGCGCUCCCGCCGCGGCCUCGACCCCACCACCAGCAUAGCCCCGUGACGUGCUACAUGUCUGUAUACUCGACCCACCACCAGCAUAGCCCCGUGACGUGCUACAUGUCUGUAACCUCGACCCACCACCAGCAUAGCCCCGUGACGUGCUACAUGUUUGUAAAGUAGCCCCGAUUGCAAUGCUAUCAUCAUUAUCAUUAUCUUGGUUGAAUGGCCAGGCACCUUCAUAUAGGAGAGGGAGUACAAAGCCUUAUCCUGCAAGCCCGGAUUCCAGGCAGAAUUAUUAUUACUGAAAAUUUCUCAAAAGGUUUUUGGAAUUUUAGAAUUUAAACAAUCGUGAGUGUUAUUCAUAAUAUUAAUUUAUUUGUACAGUUUCAUUGUAUAUUUUCAUGCGUAUAAUUAUCAUAUAGCCAACUACUAUUAAGAAU